CAGAUGUGAAAGACCCGGGGCGUCAACCUCGGAAUAGCAUUUGAAACUGGCAGACUAGAGUACUGUAGAGGGGGGUAGGAAGUUUCUAGGUGUAGCGGUGAAAUAGCGUAGAGAUCUGAAGGAAUACCGGUGGCGAAGGCGGCCCCCUCGGACAGAUACUGACACUCAGAUGCGAAAGCGUGGGGAGCAAACAGGAUUAGAUACCCCUGGUAG
rnacentral:rRNA from 1 species